GGGAACUCUUUGUGAAGGAGGGUCAAGCCCAAUUCCUCCUGCUCUGUCUGCGAUCUUUCGUCUCCAGAGCCAGACUCUGUCUCUCUCUGUCUAUCUUCUGAGUCCGACUCUUCCCCUGUGGUCGAUUCAGCCACAUCCCUGACAGGUGGAGCCCUCUCUGUUGGUGAAUAGAAACUUCUGCCAAAUCCUAACCUCCAGCAGAGGCAUGGGUCAGGGGUUAGAAUGGUUCUGUCCAAUGGUUUUAAAACAAGAUUGGACAAAUUCAUGGCUAUUCACUGAAUACCAGCCACUGAAGAGCAAUGGCAUGAUGGCCUCCUUGUGGACUUGUCUGAGGCACCACUGUUGGAUGCUGGACUUGGUAGAACGUUGACCUUAUCCAGCAAGACUCUCCUUAUGUUCACAUGACUGUGAUGCCAACAUCACAGCUGCCCCUCUCAUGCAGAGCACCACCAAGAAGCCAAGAAGCAGAGCCUGUCACCAGCUCAUAUGCUUGCACCAUUAUCUUCAUGGCUGCAUCCAGGGGACCGAUAUUUUUAGACCAUAUGAGCCAGCCCUGUGUGCAGCCCGUUUGCAAUAUGAGAAUCUCUUCAGGACUCUGUGAAAUUUACGAGAUAGGUAGGAAUGAAUGCAGUGAAUGAUGCAAAUAGUUGUGUAUCUCUAAAGAUCACAUGAGCGGAAAAUCCCAUUCGCACAUAUUCUGCAAAUAACUGCUGAAGAAAUAACUCCUGCCCCAUAACAUAUAAUGAGAAGUAACUACUGUAUAUAUUGUAGUUUGCGACUGUUCUCGAGGUACGCUUAAUGCAAACCAAGCUGUGUUCAUUUACUUUGCAAAUGUUCCUGUUGAGGUUCAUAUUUUAAAAUUACAAUUUAUUACAGAUAUUAACAAUGAUGCCACAAAGAAUAAACAUUCUGCUAUUGCAUCCUGAUUGCCAAGAGAAAGAAAGUACAGUAGAACAAUUACAUUCCUCCUGAGCCGGUGUAUACUGAUUGAUUCAAAUAAAGGGGCCUUUGGGGAAAACAAGAACAUUCUCAGCUAAUUACACAGUUUUGCAUAUUUUGUUAAUUUGUGAAAUUCAGGAUACACCCUACUGGCUUAUAGAUAUUGUUUUGACAAACCAAAGAUUAUGCUGAUGAGCAAACUGUUGCAGAA